rnacentral:rRNA from 1 species
UACGAGGGGGGCGAGCGUUGUUCGGAAUUAUUGGGCGUAGAGGGCGCGUAGGCGGUCGGAUAAGUCUUGUGUGAAAUCUUCGGGCUCAACUCGAAGUCUGCACAGGAAACUAUCUGGCUUGAGUGUGAGAGAGGUGAGUGGAAUUCCUGGUGUAGCGGUGAAAUGCGUAGAUAUCAGGAGGAACACCUGUGGCGAAAGCGGCUCACUGGACCACAACUGACGCUGAGGCGCGAAAGCGUGGGGAGCAAACAGG